rnacentral:rRNA from 1 species
AGCCAUGCAUGUCUAAGUAUAAGCAAUUAUACAGCGAAACUGCGAAUGGCUCAUUAUAUAAGUUAUCGUUUAUUUGAUAGUACCUUACUACUUGGAUAACCGUGGUAAUUCUAGAGCUAAUACAUGCUAAAAAUCCCGACUUCGGAAGGGAUGUAUUUAUUAGAUUAAAAACCAAUGCCCUCUGGGCUCCUUGGUGAUUCAUAAUAACUUUUCGAAUCGCAUGGCCUUGCGCCGGCGAUGGUUCAUUCAAAUUUCUUCCCUAUCAACUUUCGAUGUUUGGGUAUUGGCCAAACAUGGUCGCAACGGGUAACGGAGGGUUAGGGCUCGACCCCGGAGAAGGAGCCUGAGAAACGGCUACUACAUCCAAGGAAGGCAGCAGGCGCGCAAAUUACCCAAUCCCGAUUCGGGGAGGUAGUGACAAUAAAUACUGAUACAGGGCUCUUUUGGGUCUUGUAAUUGGAAUGAGUACAAUUUAAAUCCCUUAACGAGGAACAAUUGGAGGGCAAGUCUGGUGCCAGCAGCCGCGGUAAUUCCAGCUCCAAUAGCGUAUAUUAAAGUUGUUGUGGUUAAAAAGCUCGUAGUUGAACCUUGGGCCUGGCUGGCCGGUCCGCCUCACCGCGUGUACUGGUCCGGCCGGGCCUUUCCCUCUGUGGAACCUCAUGCCCUUCACUGGGUGUGGCGGGGAAACAGGACUUUUACUUUGAAAAAAUUAGAGUGCUCCAGGCAGGCCUAUGCUCGAAUACAUUAGCAUGGAAUAAUGAAAUAGGACGUGUGGUUCUAUUUUGUUGGUUUCUAGGACCGCCGUAAUGAUUAAUAGGGACAGUCGGGGGCAUCAGUAUUCAAUUGUCAGAGGUGAAAUUCUUGGAUUUAUUGAAGACUAACUACUGCGAAAGCAUUUGCCAAGGAUGUUUUCAUUAAUCAGGAACGAAAGUUAGGGGAUCGAAGACGAUCAGAUACCGUCGUAGUCUUAACCAUAAACUAUGCCGACUAGGG